CAGCUUGGCCAGAUGACAGACAGUACUGGGUGGGUGUCCCCCACACUGAGCUGACAGCUGAGGGCAAGACAGGAUGGCGCCAGCCCCCACCAGCUAGGGACUUUUCAGAGCAGGUAUCACGAGAGCUACUAAAGGGCUUGUGACUUUUGUCCCACAGUCAAACUUCAGGAUUGCACAAACCACCAGCCUGGAGUGACCUUGCCUUGUGGGAAAGCACAGAGGAGCCCAGGCUCCCACGCAGACGAGGAAGCACCUGACCUUGCCUGGUUGAGCCAAGCGUAAGUCCCCCAUACAACCUGCCUUACUGGAGGAGACAGAUGCAAGUGAUGUCGCAGAAAAGAACCACAAGUGGCAAAAGAACC
rnacentral:lncRNA from 1 species